rnacentral:rRNA from 1 species
UACGUAGGGGGCAAGCGUUGUCCGGAUUUAUUGGGCGUAAAGAGCGUGUAGGCGGUUAGGUAGGUCCGUUGUGAAAACUCGAGGCUCAACCUCGAGACGCCGAUGGAAACCAUCUAACUAGAGUCCGGAAGAGGAGAAUGGAAUUCCUGGUGUAGCGGUGAAAUGCGCAGAUAUCAGGAAGAACACCCGUGGCUAAGGCGGUUCUCUAGUACGGUGA